rnacentral:tRNA from 1 species
GGGAAGGUGGCUCAGUGGUAGAGUGCUUGCCUUGCAUGCAUGAGGCCCCGGGUUCGAUUCCUCAGUACCA